UACGAAGGGUGCAAGCGUUACUCGGAAUUACUGGGCGUAAAGCGUGCGUAGGUGGUUUCUUAAGUCUGCUGUGAAAGCCCCGGGCUCAACCUGGGAAUUGCAGUGGAUACUGGGAAGCUAGAGUGCGGUAGAGGGUAGUGGAAUUCCACGUGUAGCAGUGAAAUGCGUAGAGAUGUGGAGGAAUACCGAUGGCGAAGGCAGCCCCCUGGGCCAAUACUGACGCUCAUGCACGAAAGCGUGGGGAGCAAACAGG
rnacentral:rRNA from 1 species